GGGCGGUUAGCUCAGUUGGCUAGAGCGAUUGCCUUACAAGCAAUAGGUCACUGGUUCGAGCCCAGUACCGCCCA
rnacentral:tRNA from 1 species